rnacentral:rRNA from 1 species
GGAGUGAACGCUGGCGGCAGGCCUAACACAUGCAAGUCGAACGGCAGCACAGCAGAGCUUGCUCUGUGGGUGGCGAGUGGCGGACGGGUGAGGAUAACGUCGGAAUCUGCCUAUUUGUGGGGGAUAACGUAGGGAAACUUACGCUAAUACCGCAUACGACCUACGGGUGAAAGCGGAGGACCUUCGGGCUUCGCGCAGAUAGAUGAGCCGACGUCGGAUUAGCUAGUUGGCGGGUAAAGGCCCACCAAGGCGACGAUCCGUAGCUGGUCUGAGAGGAUGAUCAGCCACACUGGAACUGAGACACGGUCCAGACUCCUACGGGAGCAGCAGUGGGGAAUA